GAGCUCACUUCAGCAGCACAAAUACUAAAAUUGGAAUGAUAAAGAGAAUAUUAGCAUGGCCUCUGUGCAAGGAUGACCUGCAAAUUCGUGAAGCAUUCCAUAUUUUU